GGGGAACCUCAAGAGAUGCUUCACGCAGGGAUUCAGUGGAUCGUUUUCGAGACUCAUUGCUGGCCAAAAUGCCGAAACUAUAUGACUGUAGAAUGUUUGCCCUUAAAUGGGACAUCUAUACUACCCACUCCAAAACUCGGGGAACACCACAGAAAACGAGUUGCUUGGUCUCUUUUGGACUUAAUAUCGUUCCUGUGAGAUGGGUGCUCUUCUGCAUAUCAUCCCCUUACCAAGGAUGCCCUGCUUCGCUGGGAAGAGGCAGCUGGUGCCCUGCCUUCCAGGAUGCACGCUUGGUCUUUGAGUUGCCCUCUUUCCUAAUUGGGCUCCACUGAGAGGUACCGCCCCCAUCUGGUCCUCACCAUUCAUUUCCCUGCUUCAGCUUUGCACUGCCUUCCCCUUGUACAAUCCUAUUGGCUCAUUCUUACUCACAUCUGCAGUCCUUAUGAGAACCGUGGGAAGUCUCUACAUGGCCCCUCCCUCUGUCUAGAGAGCAUGUGAUCUGAGAGGCACCUCGAAGCUGUCCUCAGACCUGCCAGCUAGGUUUGCUCAGGUAUCACUCUUCUUCCUCCCCGGGGCCCUACUGAAGACAGACCGACCUACCCGGUCCUGGAAGAGGGGUGUGAAUGGGACUCUUUACAACCCUCCUACAACAUCCACUGCCCAGCCUCAACCCUUCAACCAUAAUUCAGCCCAGCGGCAAUGAAGAUGCUGAAGACCUCUUCAAGAAAUCACAGCAGGCACCUAAGUCCCAACAUCAUCCGCUGUACUUUUU